GUCCGUGGUCAUUGUCCGUGCCACCCUGAACAAGCCCGAUGGCUGAUCUCAGAAGCAAAGCAAGAUCGGGCCUGGUUAGUACUUGGAUGGGAGAUUACCUAGGAAGACCAGGUACUAUAGACA
rnacentral:rRNA from 1 species